rnacentral:rRNA from 1 species
AUUGAACGCUGGCGGCAUGCUUUACACGUGCAAGUCGAACGGUAACAGGCCGCAAGGUGCUGACGAGUGGCGCACGGGUGAGUAAUGCAUCGGAGCGUGCCCAGUCGUGGGGGAUAACUACUCGAAAGAGUAGCUAAUACCGCAUACGAUCUAUGGAUGAAAGCGGGGGACCGUAAGGCCUCGCGCGAUUGGAGCGGCCGAUGUCAGAUUAGGUAGUUGGUGGGGUAAAGGCUCACCAAGCCAACGAUCUGUAGCUGGUCUGAGAGGACGACCAGCCACACUGGGACUGAGACACGGCCCAGACUCCUACGGGAGGCAGCAGUGGGGAAUUUUGGACAAUGGGCGCAAGCCUGAUCCAGCAAUGCCGCGUGCAGGAAGAAGGCCUUCGGGUUGUAAACUGCUUUUGUACGGAACGAAACGGCUCUGGUUAAUACCCGGGGCUAAUGACGGUACCGUAAGAAUAAGCACCGGCUAACUACGUG